rnacentral:snRNA from 1 species
AGACUGCACCAUCGAAGACUAAC